UUGUAGGUGUGGUUCCAGGUGGUCGUUUCGCGGCCGAGGAUGUGCGCGCCGAAGUACUCGCCGUCGGCGAGCACGCCGAGGACGGUGUCGUCGCCGUACUCGCCGGUGCCGAUCUUGUUGAUCUUGCCGUGUGCGAUGAGCACGACCUGGUCCGCCGGUUGCCCGGCGGUGGCGAUGACCUGGCCCGGCUCGAGCCCACCCUGCCCGAAGCGGUCGGCCAGGGCGGCCAGCACCGUAUCGUCGUCGAAUCCGCGCAGCAGCGGCAGUUCCCGCAGUUCUUGCGGGAUGACCCGGAUGUCGGCGCCGGUGUUGGUGAAGGUGACCCGUCCGUCGCCGAGGGUGUAGCUCAGCCGCCGGUUGACCCGGUACGCGCCGCCCGAGGCCUGCACCCACGGCAACAUCCGCAGCAGCCACCGCGAUGUGAUGCCCUGCAUCUGCGGGACGGAUUUCGUCGUCGUGGCCAGGUUCCGCGCCGCCGCCGUACUCAGGCUCAACGGCGACGCUUCGG
rnacentral:antisense_RNA from 21 species